UACGAAGGGGGCUAGCGUUGCUCGGAAUCACUGGGCGUAAAGGGCGCGUAGGCGGCCAUUCAAGUCGGGGGUGAAAGCCUGUGGCUCAACCACAGAAUUGCCUUCGAUACUGUUUGGCUUGAGUUUGGUAGAGGUUGGUGGAACUGCGAGUGUAGAGGUGAAAUUCGUAGAUAUUCGCAGGAACACCAGUGGCGAAGGCGGCCAACUGGACCAACACUGACGCUGAGGCGCGAAAGCGUGGGGAGCAAACAGG
rnacentral:rRNA from 1 species